UCCUGGGUGGCUCAGUUGGUUGAGCAUCCGACUUCAGCUCAGGUCAUGAUCUCACGGUCUGUGGGUUCGAGCCCCACAUCAGGCU
rnacentral:tRNA from 1 species